rnacentral:rRNA from 1 species
UACGAAGGGGGCUAGCGUUGUCCGGAAUUAUUGGGCGUAAAGAGCUCGUAGGCGGCUUGUCACGUCGAUUGUGAAAUCCCGAGGCUUAACCUCGGGUCUGCAGUCGAUACGGGCUAGCUAGAGUGUGGUAGGGGAGAUCGAAUUCCUGGUGUAGCGGUGAAAUGCGCAGAUAUCAGGAGGAACACCGGUGGCGAAGGCGGAUCUCUGGGCCAUUACUGACGCUGAGGAGCGAAAGCGUGGGGAGCGAACAGG